UAAUACGGGAGGCAGCAGUGGGGAAUAUUGCACAAUGGGCGCAAGCCUGAUGCAGCCAUGCCGCGUGUGUGAAGAAGGCCUUCGGGUUGUAAAGCACUUUCAGUCGUGAGGAAGGUGGUGUAGUUAAUAGCUGCAUUAUUUGACGUUAGCGACAGAAGAAGCACCGGCUAACUCCGUGCCAGCAGCCGCGGUAAUACGGAGGGUGCGAGCGUUAAUCGGAAUUACUGGGCGUAAAGCGCAUGCAGGUGGUUUGUUAAGUCAGAUGUGAAAGCCCGGGGCUCAACCUCGGAAUAGCAUUUGAAACUGGCAGACUAGAGUACUGUAGAGGGGGGUAGAAUUUCAGGUGUAGCGGUGAAAUGCGUAGAGAUCUGAAGGAAUACCGGUGGCGAANGCGGCCCCCUGGACAGAUACUGACACUCAGAUGCGAAAGCGUGGGGAGCAAACAAGAUUAAAUCCCCUGGUAACCCACCCCGUAAACAAUGUCUACUUGAAGGUUGUGGCCUUGAACCGUGGCUUUCGG
rnacentral:rRNA from 1 species